UGCUGUGUCAGAAGAAGUUUGAGUCUUAUCUCUCAGAAAUCAAGAAACUGGUUAGAGAUGACGAUCCACGUGCCGUAUAUCGUCUUCAGUUGCCUGAGAUCGAGAGGGGAGGAGGUUUGAAGGACAAACAACGCUCCAGAAGAUUCCGUCUUCUUGGACGAAAAGAAGAUGAUUACGUCAUACUUCCAGAUCAAUAUCUUAAAGAUGUCUUGGACCUGAAAGACUACUAGUAGACAAAACAAAAUGGCCGCCAUCAUGUCUAUAGCCAUGGUCGGUGUUACAUGAAGGACUACUAGUAGAUAAAACAAAAUGGCCGCCAUCAUGUCUAUAGCCAUGGUCGGUGUUACAUGAAGGACUACUAGUAGA